CCUUUGGCAAACAGAAGGCAAAUAGCCAGAAGACAAAUAAAAGACUGAAAACCUCUGAAGGGAUUAGGCUUGCAGGUCACAGUGAGAUCCGCGGGAAUGGGAGAAUACAAAAUGGCGGACGAACAACAGGUUAACGUACAACUAUCAUGCACAUGACAACAAAUACAAGAAAUAUGAAAAAUGUUCAUACCUGAAGACACAUCAGGACACUCUACUAUUUUCAAAAGUAAACAUGUUGUUAGAGAUGCAAUGGAAGAGGCAUGGGGAUACAGAAGGGUACUGACAUAUUGGUGUUUUCCCUUUUGCAAGGUAACAACUGACCGACCCUAACAGAAAAGCUGAAGGUUAAAAGAAGAAAUCUACUUGUCAACUUUGACCAAGUUCUACGUGAACAGUUGCCCCCAAAAUCAUGAGAGUCUCUCACUGAAGGAAGACUCAGGAAUUGGGAGAAAAUAGUUUUUUACAAGAACUAAACAGUAAAAAUGGUAAUAUCCUAUUAAUAGAGAAAUGACACUCAAGAGGUCAAAAUAAUUGGACUUCCCGACACAGCUUUGUGCAAUGUUUUCUACUUCUUUUAUAUAAUAACCUCAAAAAGACUCCAAGUGAUAUUUCUUCUAUCAUAAUGAGCAGCUACUGGGAAAAAACAGAAACUAUAAAAUUAUUUCUCCUGCUUC